GGUUGGCCGCGAGCUCCCGCCCGGCCCCCGCCGCGCCCCGCCCGCCCCGCGAGUGGCGCCCUGGCGGCGGAAAGAGGCGCGGAGCGACGGGAAGGCGUUUGCGGAUGGCUUGACUGGGAUUACCAGUAUGGAGACGCUCAGAAAAAUGAAACGGAAAAAAGAACCAGCAUAACUUGAAAAACUGUCAUCAAACACAUGCUCUACACAUUCUGAAAUAAAGGAAAUUACACCAAGUGCUGUCGUUUCCAAAGCAGUUGUUUUCAGAGUCACAGGCAGGUUGUGGCAUAGUGCCAGCAGCAGAGAAAAACCACUGCAAGAACAAAAGCAGAAUGAAAAUAAUCUGCAUCGUGAGAUGACAGGGGAAGGGCUGGAAGCAGAUGGAUUGUUGGAGCUGGACUGUGUUACACAGGCUUGCUGCUGCAGUGGAGGACAGGGCUAUGGAUUACCUGGAAAUUGGCAGCUCUUAUCCUGAGACAGGAGUGAUAGGAGAUGCAAGUGCUGAAAUAAGUGGGGGUAUACAAAAAACCAAAAACUGCUACACAUUCAUUCCAGAAUUGUGGUUUUAAAUUUGCCAACUUUUUCAAGUUAAAAAGAGAAGGGAACGUUUUUAUUCUUCUUAAGGGAACUACCUGUAAUCUCAUGGGAGCUGAUCUCACAUGAGCUGUGUGGGAGAAUCCCCUCUCAGUCUUCUUCCAGCCCCAAAAGGACCAAUGGAGUGGGGAAGAGGUGGCUGACCCUGUGUGUUAAUCACAGCUGGACACUGCACAAACCUGGCUGUGCCGUGCCACCAUCCUUUGUGCCGGCCCUACUGGCGAUAGCAGGCUAUUAAAUUAAUUUGGUGGUAAGGCCUUUUUGUUUUUGACAGCUUGCCAGUUUUCUAAAUAAAAGACUUGAAUUUAUAUAAGCCUUCCUUUGUUCCUCGGUAAUACACCCAAGCCCUCUCAGUUCAAAAUCUAAGCCAGUUAUUGACAUAAUUACAAAUCAAAAUGCUGGAAGAGGUGAUAACGUAGACAUGUUUUAUUUCCAAAUUCAUUUUGAGUAAAAGGAUUGUUUGUUGUUUUGUUUUUUUUUCCAAAUCACUGAACGGAACAGUUGGAGUAACGUAAAAUCAGGAGGACACAGCAGGACAGGAAAAGAAAUGGUUUUUCUGAAGCAUUGUCCUGUUACUGCUGUGAGAGAAACACUAAGAAAAUGGGACUGUACUCCAACUGAGAUGGCAGGCAGCCAGCAAAGAGCUUCAGCCCUUAUGGAAAAUUUAUGCUUACACAGAGCUCAAAAUAGUUUUUCUUGUAGAGAAAAAUGGUACUCGCUCAUCUGUUUUUAUGGCUGCUAAUAAAACACUGACCUUCUCUUACCCUUUUCAUUCAAAGUAGUUUAUUUAAAAAAAAUAUCCACCACACAGUUUAAACAUUAUUUCCAUCAGUUUCUUCUGCAACGCUCCGUUGGUUGUUCUGAACGGGUCCCCAUUUUCACUACUCUGACACCAGUGGUCUUUCAGAAAGUGGGAGCUGUGGACCUACAUGCUGCAAAGAGUCCAGGAUAAAUGACUUAAGAACGCAAGAAUGCAGUUUUAAUUACAUUCGUACUCCAAUUAACGUUUUGAGGUUGGAGCCCGAGUCCUUUACGGCUUGAUCCGUGAAUAAGGAUCCUGUUUGGGAUGAAUGGUCCCUGUUUUAAUCCCCUUUCACUGGGGCAGAGCUGUAACACACCCAGGCAGAGCCACAUAAUUUCUAAACAGAGCCCAGCCUACAGUGAGGGUGGCUGUUUGUCUGUCAGAAAUAAACUGACUGCCAAGAGGGAAAAGGAGUAUCAGGGAACCUAAGGAGUCUGUGUUAAGCACCAGUUUCACCAUCAGUUGCAAAAUAACUGCAACUCUGCAGAGCUCCUUGCUUUCAGAGGAAACCCACCCACCUCUGGCCAUUAUUGAGAGGUGUGUUCAUCAGAGAACUGCGGCCAACAUUUUCUCUUCCUGGGUUCUUUCACUCUAAGAGCAUUCACGCUAAGACUAGGAAGACACACACUUGAGAACAGUGCAUCAAAAAAUAUUUGAAAUAAUGUACAGAAUAUAAGGCAAGAAAACUAUUUCACGAGGUGUCAAAGCCAGGAGGAAGCCUGCAGCUUGCUUAUUUAGCAAGAAAAAGGGAAAGAAGCAACUGCCAUCUGUCAGAUGUGACAGAUAGGGGAUAAGCAACAAACAUGGAUGUGGAAUAGGACAAGCAAGUGAAUCAGACGUAACAACAGCGCUCAUCUAUCCAAGGCCUCAUCAGUCCAACAAGUGUUUAGAAGCAGUAGUUUCAGAAGAUCUCAUUAAAUGUGUUACCCUCUCAACUACUCAGAGCUGCAACGGACUGAAAGCUAUUUUAAAUCGACCAAUUCACUACACUCCCUCACAAAAUGCAUAUUUAAAGUACAGGCUUUACAAACCAAAGAACUGCCCAACUCCUCCUCUUUCAGGAGGUGCCUAAAUCUCAAAACCAAAUGCCAAACAAAAGCCACCAAAGAAGAAACAUGCACUUCUUCACCGGCAAAUGGAGCUGUAAGCAGAGAAGCUUGAUCACGCCUCUAGAUGGCAGGAGGGGCCUGUCACACUGCCUGCGAGCUUCUGCACCUUUUCUACCGUGUUCCGUGGGGCUGAGCACCCAGGGGCUCUCCUUCCUUAGAAGUGUCAGCGCUGCUCUGAAAGUCAGCUUUUGGAUCUCCUAAGAGGAAAACCGGUGGGUAGUUCAGUGCCACUGCUAAACUUGCUUCCUCUCACAUGCUGCAGUCAGUCGCCUUGCCUCUUGCUUGGCAAACUCCUGCGCAGCAGCAGCUCUCUCAAACGACACAAACAAGCAUCAACUCCAAUUUUUUCACUGUGGUUGGAGCAAUGCAUUGUUAGCCAAAAUGCAUUCAGAAAGUCACGCGGAGCAUGUCAUGUUUUAACUGCUUUCAGCUAUGCCAAACCCUCUGUUGGUAGCGCUAUGUGUGCAGACUGCAUCUCUUUGAAAACCACUUUCAAAUGGAGUGUUUCUCCCUUCCCCAAAUAGAACAGGGGCCAAGAAGUUCACUUUCCAUAACCUAUUCGAGUACUGCUCUCCCAGAUAGUUCUUACAUUGCUUUCAAUUCCAUGUGGAGGCAAAUAUUAAAAAACAAAGCCUUUCCCAGAUCACUAACGUUCCUCUGUUGGCAAAGAGCUGAAGCCCAGUGGAGCGCUCAGUGGCACCAGGUGAAACUAGUUCAGUUUGCAGAGAUACCAUGGGGAAUUCUGCUGUUCCACUGCCUAUGCUGCAAAGCCUGCAGCAGAGCACCUGCACAAGAACUCAACUGCAACCACACCAGUUCCUGCAGUCCAGAAGAGUCCUUCUGACUGUAGCUCAAGAGCCCGUGGAAUUGACUGCUUUACAUUUCCCUGCUAACCCAUACAAGUACCUCUCUGCUCCCACUCUCCUAAGAAAUCCUACCAAUGUUGUUGGCUCAGUCAGUACAAACUGUGCUCAGAAACUGCUUUAUUCUCAUGGACCAGGUGGUUUUGCCUUUGUGGUUUCUUUUUAAAACCCAUUUCACCUUCAGACUAUCAUGUAGAUACAGUUAGCUCUCUUUUUCUGAGGCCAGUCUGCCUGCAACAACAAGCAGCAGACAGGAGGCUUCUGCAUCAGUUCCACUCUGCUGCAUAGCGAUGAGGGAAGAAGCAAGGAGAAUGACCUGCUGAAGCCUGGACUUGAGCAGAAUCUUUCCCUCCAGCUCACUCAGGCUCUGGGCCUUGCCAUCUGUAGCAGGUGCUGCAGAAGACACCAAAAGCCAGGCAGCAAGGUUCUUGCAAGUAGAAUUCAGCAAGGAAGUUCUCCUAGCACAUGCUGCUGAAUUAUUUAUUUCCUUGUCUCUGCUCAAGGGGUGCUACUUUCCCAGACUGCUUUACGUGGAUGGAAAACAUAUUAAGACUGCUUACCUUCCUCAUUCUUCUGAUACCACUUCCAAUCAGAGCUCGAUGAUCUGGCGUCGUCAGAUGACCAAUCCUUGAAUGCUUCCACUAUGAAUUCAUCCAUAUAUUACUGAACCCAACUCUGUUAAUCUUCAAGAGUACACACCCUACGUAUUUGUGGAUGAGAUGUUUGCAACAAGGUACUUCAAAAUAGUUACCAACACUUUUCCCUGUGCUCCCCACCCCAAGCCGAGCUUGGAGUCCCUACAGUCCCCCCAGCCACAGCCCAGCACUCCUUCCACCCAUCCCAACCUUCACCUGGCCCCUGAAGCCAGGCUAUAGUCCAUGCUCAAUAGUGGAGAAGUCAGCUUCACUGUGAAACUGAGACAUGAUGCAGUAAAUAACCAGUGGCCAAGUUACCUGCCACCUUCAGUUUGGAAGCAUUAAAGCCGAAGCCCUUUCAAGGAAGCGGGUGUUACUUUCCUUACUAAAGAUUUAGAACACUAGCCAAAGAAAUCCAGGUUCACUUUCUCCUGAGUGUGUUGUCUCUAUUUCAUGGACCCAUGGCCCUUGCUUAACUUCAUUCAUCCCAAAAUAAAGUUUAAAUAAGAGGAAGAGUGCUGUGCUUUCUCACGCCAAUCGGACUGUAUUUCAGAUUCAGAAGCUAUGAAGUCUGGAAAACAAUACAUUUCCAAAUGAAAAAAAAACUGUUGACUUAAAUGAAAAAAGUUGACUUAAAAAAAAAAAAUCAGUAAAUGUAUGCACUUCUCACUAAUCUUAAACUCUGCAGAAGGUGUUUGACGAGCAGAUGAAAACCACAGCUUGCAUGAACAAAAUCAUUUCUAGUUUCAGAAAUAAUAACAGCAUUGAAUUUACAGCUGUAACUCCAUUGAGCUCGCAUUAAGUUUUGAUGUCUGAACAUCUGACAGAACUGACAUAAUGAGCACUGCAAGGAUAUCAGACAAGUUGAAAUGAAGACAGACAAAAAUAUUUUUUAAUAUAAAAAUGGUCUUUAUUUCUUCAAUACAAGGUAAACUACUAUUGCAGUUUAAGACCAACACAAAAGUUGGACAGCAAAUUGCUUAACAGUCUCCUAAAGGCUGAAAAAAAGGAACCCAUGAAAGCUAAAAGUUAUGCAAUAUUUCAAGUAUAACAUCUAAAAAUGAUGAAACGAUCCCUAAAGGCAGAGAUUAACUAAGCACUUCUGCUGAAAAUGUAUUAAAAUCCGCAGUUGCUAGGAUACCAUCUUACCUUGCUGAGAAAUACAGGUCUCCGGCAACGCAAUAUUCAGCAGACUCUUUGGCCUGCUUGAAUCUGGAAACUGCUUACUAUAUACAUGUAUAAAAUCCUUUGGAGUUGGGCAUUCUGAGAGACAUCCAUUUCCUUACAUUUUGCAGUGCAACUCUGCAUUCCAACUCAGACAAGUUCCCAUGCUGUAUUUCAAAGCCAUUUCUUGAAUUUUUUACCCAGACAUCCUUGUGCAAAAUGGGAAUGAGGAAAUGCAAUGAUACAGGAAGACAAUACAGCCUUAUGUUUAGAAAAUCAGCAGCGCUGGUAAUCUUCAUAAAAAUGUAACUGUUUACCAAAUAGGAAUGUAUUUCACUUGUAAAACACCUGGUCCUUUUACAUUACUUUUUUUUUUUUUUAAAAGGACACCUGCACUAAUUUGCAAUCACUUGCAUUUAUAAAAGCACACGCAUUCCUCAUUUUCUUACACUUGAAGAUCAACAGUGUCUCUUUCAUAAUGUAAUAAUAAUAUGCACAGUUUAAAAUAUUUUCUGUUACAAAAUACAGUACACAAGAGGGUGAGGCCAAAGACUAUUAAAUAUAUUCCAAAGUGUCAGCACUGGGGGUGUAAGAUUACAUUACAUGGUACGAAUAGACUGAUUUUUUUUUUUUUUACAACUGAAAUGCUCAAUUUCAUUGGGGGUAAAAGGUGAAUACUGUUUACUAUCUUCAAGAGACUUCCAUCAAAUCAGAAGCUUUAAAAGAUUUAAGCACAGAUAUAGGCCAUACCAGAGCCUACAUCUGCUGCAAUAACCGGGGCUAUAGAAAGGAUUCAGGAACUAACAAGUGCGUAAUUUACAAAUAGAGAUGCUUCGUCCAACAUGGAAAAAAAUAAAAUCCCAUGAGAACAUCCAACUGAGAAACUUCUCUGUUUCUUAGCAACUCAUCUUCUACAGCUAAGAUGGUUUGAGAAGUACCCAGCAGGUGAGAUGUGUUCCAGGAGGUGGCUGUGUGGCAGCGCGUGGGGACACGACACAAAGCACCCCAGCCCUGUCUGCAACACUCACUGCAGGGCAGUGCUGUGAGCAGCUGCAACGGGCAUCACUUCUGCAUAAACACUGUGACUCAUUGGCACGCUGCAACUGUGUUUAAAACCUAUACGCUCCAUUCCCACAAUAACUUAAAUCCUAAACAAAUCCAUGCAGCUUGUUUCCUAUGCCAAAAUAUUUUAGAAAGUAUUCAUUCUUCUUUAAGAAUAUCAUGUGGAUCUGCACUUCCCUGGGAUCUUGAGUGAUUUAUACCUCGGUGCAGAAGCAAUUUAGUGUCCUGGAUCUCGGGAAGGCAGCAGCCAAACGUGCACGUUUUACAUUUGAACCCACGUGACAACCCACCUUACUGAGCACUGCCCUAUGAAAUUUAAGGCUGCAUCCUUACAACACAAAAACCAAUGACAGACUGCAUAUAAAAUUCUAUAAAUAAAAAUAGGAGUGAAGUCUGUUUGACCUGUACACACAGAGCAUAUAGAUUAAAAAAAAGGAAAAUCGGGAAUUACAUAUUUCUAUAAAUGCCAUAUAUUUUUUACUAGAAACACAGAUGACAAGUAUAUACAACAUGUAAAUUUGAAGUUAUCAACAUGUUAACUAGGAAAACAUUUACAAGCAUUUGAGUAUGCAACUAGAUCAUCAGGUAAAAAAGUCCCAUUAGAAAAAUCUAAGCCUCACCAGUUUCAAAGGAAAAAACCAGAUCGCUCACUACUUAGAAGGGAAAAAACAAAGCAGUAAAGCAUCAAGCUAGCCUAAACUUAAUAAGGUAUCUCGUGUAAGAACAACUAUCCAAGCUUUCAACCACACUAUAAAUAAAAACCUCAAGUUCUGACAAACAUUUCUCAUAAUGCAAUCAGAACCAAAGGCAUUGGCACAGAAAGCAAAAAGGGAAUGAAAGAAAAGGGCUGUACAAUUUCCAAAAUUGUAUGUUCUUCUUUUGAAGAAAUGUUUCUGACCUGUCAAAACAUACAGCCUAGUAGAAAUUUUACUAAGAAAAAAGGAAACCUUACUCACGAAAACAAAAACCAACCAAACAAAACAGAUAAAAAAAAACCUACUGCAAAAAAUUCUUCUGUCACUGAGAUGCCACCACCCCAACCACCACCUGCUGUGGGCUUUGUCUCCCAAAACAAAGGACACACAGCCUUAUCCAAUUUUCAACAUUGCUUAUAAAAACACUGUUCAGAAGAAAUAUCAAGUAUUUCCUCACAGACUGUUUUAUCCUUUCAUCGGAUCAAAAGGAGAUGAAAUACAACAGAGUGAAUAUCAAAGAAGGUGGCAGGAGCCACCAUGGCACCAUCAGCAGGCAGCGCAGCGCCCAACUGCCGCUUCCUGAGCGCACACACAGGAAGCCGUCAGUCACAUGUAAUAAACCAAAACCUGGUACAACUGUAUUACGGAUUCACUUAUACAUGAUGUGCAUCAGACAUAUUCCUUUUUGGUGUCUAUCAGGGUCUUUGGAUCUUUUUCUGUACAGAUUUCUUGUUUCAUUAAAAAAAAAACUCUAACAAAACUCACAGUAGCAAGAGCUCUAUCUAAACAGUGAUACAGUGUGCCUAUCAGCUCAAACUAAGUACUCAGAGAACAGGCAGAAAUAAGGGGCUUCAUGUGGGGAUCUCUUCUUCUAAGCCACAACACACUCAGUUUAACCUGUGUUGUUCUCUUCCUGCUUUUUUUUUCCCCUGCUAUUUCCAUUGCCAGCAACAGAAAUCUGCACAAGAAGCUAUGCUCUGUAGAAGAGCAAUGGUAUCCUUAUAUCUAUUUCAGUAUGGAAUAUCAAUUCCUGCAUAAAAUGCUUUUGAUUUUUUAUUUCGAGUUAUAAUAUAGCUCUGCAAUGGAACAUUACUUACCUGCUGCCUCUCCAGCAUGAGCUAUUCCCCAUGUAACAGCUACAGACAGGUUAUUCCUUCCUUAAACUUAUUACACACAGCAGUAAACAUUGUUUUGAAGUAAAAAAUAAAAUUACAACAGUAUUGUUUGUAACCAACACCUAUUCACAAAAAGCAGGAAAUGAGUCGUGACUCAUUAGAUACAACUUUCAGUUUACAAAAUUUUAAAAGGCAGCUUUCAUUUGGAAACAGGUUUAAACAAACAUUGUAAAUAUCUUCUCAGUAGCAAAUAGUUUGAUUAACACCAGCGACCCCACGCAUGAGGAUUUGAGGUACACAAUUUAAGGAAAAAAAGGGGAGGGGGUCUGAAGCUUGCAGCCCAGUCCAACAGCAUCAACCUGGCUGCAGAAAAUCCGGCCAAGGGUCGGUGAUAAAAAUAUGAGAGAUUUCAGACUUAAGCAAAGCUUCUGCAGUAGUACACGCUACUGGUCCCGACUCAGCAAAGCAUCAAAAUCGCUCACUCUGCACAAAUUAACUUAGAGCAUAUGUUUACAUUCCUUGAAAUGGGCAGAAUGUAAGCAUGUGCUCUGGAAAACCAAGUGGAUUGAAGUGCUUUCCUGAACAGGAGAACAGAUUUUAGAUCUGCUGCAAAACCUUUUGAGAAAGAAAAUCAGUAAAGAAAGAAACGAAGAGCUGUCUAAGAGUUGCUUCUUAAAGCCAUCUGAGGUCUUGAAACAGAACUUAAAGCACUAAGUGCAGCUAUGUGAAUCAGUGAAAACUAAGAAUAAAUCCGUUACACAAUGAUUUGCAACAGACAAAGAAUGAGCCUUUGUGCAAGGACUCCAGAAACAGUUUUUUUCCAAAUUAAAUGAAUCUUUCCAUUCAUUUGUGCUUACUGAAAUUUAAAACAAUUUCUUGUAACUGGAAUUCAGCUUCCACGCUAAGCUCCAGCAAACUGUUUUUAAGGAAAUUUACAAAACCUCAUUUGACGGAUUUAAUUAGCGCCGCUUUUUGCGAAGAUACUUCAAUAUUGCCCACAGUGGAACACGGACAUACAGGCGUACCUUCUCUUCUAUAUGCACGUUUGGAUAAACCCCAAAGCAUUAAAAAAGUAUCAAACCCAUAAAGUCUGAAAAAUGGAAACAUCUGCUUCCUCCUGUCACAUCUAAUAUACAGUUAUGUACAGACUGCUGCGGCCUCGGGGGCGGAGGGAAGGGAGAAACACAUAAGCACUAGUUCUAUAAAACUGUAAACAACUGCAGGAUUCUUCUUCUUUUUUUUUUUUAAAGCUAACCUUUGCAUCCCUCAAUAUGAAUGGUUUAAGACCAUGCAAACAGUUUAAUAUGAACAGCAGCGUCGACCAAUAUCAAGACCGUGUGAAAGAGCAUUUUCAGUGUGCUCCCAUCAGUGAUCUGGGAGCACCUUCCUCAAAGCAAGAGAACACAAAGAACUGCAGUUUUUACAGUUUUAUACGUCAGUGAGCAAGUUCACAAGCCACCCAGGUAAACACUGCUAGAAAGCAAAAUGGCAUUAGAGGUUUCUGUAACCACCUGUCUUCGUAUCAAAAUCAAACGUGUGAGAGCAACAUUAGUAGGUUCAACUCACUGAAUGCAAGAUUAGGUUGAGGCAUAUGCAAGAACUAUUGCGAUGUUUUUAAAGACAGCAUCAAUGUUUUCAUUGUAACAUUAUCUUUAAAUAUUGCUGAACACAAGACUUUCCCUGAGGUGUAAACAUCAAAUAACUUGAACAGCUUUACACAUCAGCCCCAUUAAACAGUUUAUUACAACACUACAUCUACUGUAAUCAAAGUGGUGCUGUGUACAGACAUUAUCAUAUGAACAUUUUAACAUGAACAAACUACUAUAAAAACAAGCAUUUACUUGACUUUUUCCAAUUGCUCGCACAUUAUAAUUGCCAAAUGUAUAUAACCAGUAAUGAAGUUGCAAAAACUAUAAGGUUUAAAUCACACAGGUUUCCCUCAAAUAAAACAGUUAAGCAACAUAAAAAAAGUAAAAGAGCUACUGGUUACCAUGUAUGCAGAUUUGCUUUAUUCAGAUCUAUUCCUGUUCAUUUUAUCCAUGAAUCCUUACAGGCUCAGUUCAAUCACAUGAAGCAAACUGCCGGACAAGCAUCUUUCCUUGAAGAACGUAUCUUGUCUUGUACGCUGCUCCUCUUCCUUCAGCUGUAAUGUGUCAAAAUUUGUGAUGUAGAUUUUGCUAGUCCCCAUAAUACACAGAAAAUUGUUGCCUUAUCUAUACAUACACAAGUCGUGCAUCUACUUCACCAUAUGUAAACUAACACAAGCUAACAGGAGCAGUAGCUACUUGUUUGUGCAACUGCUUUAGGAUAUGGUAAUUAAAACCAAUUGUACAACAAAAUUGAAAGAAUGUGAAUCUAACAUUCGGAAGUAUCCGGUGAUAAAGUAGAAAUAGCUACUGUUCCUGUGACUGAUGGAAACAUUUAUAAAGAGCAUUUUCUAAAGUAUGAAUUCUGAAAGAAUAAACCAACAAGCAUUUAAUGUAAUUUUGCCCACAGCUAGAUUUUUACAUUUUUACCUGCUCACUUACAGAAGAUUUAAACUGAUUUAAAUUUGACAUUUAAGUAAUGCACUGAUUGUAUCAUGAAGUGGGAGGCUCACAGCCCAGUAACAUUUAAGAGCGCACAGAAUUUGAUAGAGGCACUUCCAAAUUUCCAGCCUAGUGGCAAGCAGGAUGACUUGACAUCUAAACAUACACACUCACAGUUUGAUCGCACAAACCCACUCUUCAAAUAAUACAAUACAGACCUGCAGGUCUCCUCCUGCCCUAGGAAAAAACCCAAGCCCCUACUGCCUACUCCCAUCUAUUUAGGCAAUGAGGAACCACGCCAUUCAAAGUGAAUUACCGUAAGAGUUCACAGAAUACUUGGGACGGUAUAAUUCCAUACACUGGAUGUCAGUUGAAUUCCAUUACAAAACAAUUGACUAUCUUCAUUUCAUUAAUAAUUCACAAUUUCAACAUUCAGUAACUUCAAAAUAAUUUAAAUCAAGUUCUUUAAAAACCCAACACAUUUGAUUGUUCGUUUGAAAAACAGACAUUUAGAGGAGCAAUUUCCUGAACGUAUACCAGUACACAGCUGUCAAAUAUUCUUUUGCUAUUAUAAUUGCAAAGCAGUUGGAAAAACAAAAUAUUCCAUGUUUGUACAAGCAAUUGACACAUCUGUUCUUCCCUUCCUCAACAUGAUCAUGAAUGGCAAUGUUAAAAAGAAGAACGUAAAACCCAAGCAGCUUAGGCUGUUUACCCUCCAGUAUUCGGGUCAACUGAUCAAGUAUUCGGGCAAGGCUGAAGCAGCGGCUGGAAUUUCUUUUAUUUGCAGCCUUUGUUCUCAAGUCAUCAACCAGUAAAUACUCUGGAGAAAGUUCCCUCCCCAGAGGCCAAAGUUUCUGUAGAUGUUACACAUUUUUCAAGUGAACUUUUCAGAGGCUCAGUGACAAGGCACCGCACCCACAGGCGGACACAUUCAGAAGCAUGGGCUACAUCAGCACAAAUGGAUGGGAGAAUUUUGGGUUUUAGUGGACAAAAGGUAUGACAGCUGUGAGACUGUAUGUCAGAAUUUGCUGCUCUGGUGAUACAAUUGCUGCGGCAAGAGUUAUGGAUCUUGAGCACUUCUAUGGCAACAGUUAACAGAUCCAAAGCACCAUGUGUAGGAUCGAUAAUACUAGCAGAGAAAGCUUCUGUUCCUGAGAAUAAUUUGCUAGAUUUGUUAGGUGACUUAUGCAACUACAGGAGCUUUCAAGAAAGCACAAUAAACAGUAUUUACAAUUAAUGCUUUCCAGCAGGGAUCCUAAGAUGGUCAACACCACUCUAAAACUUUUAAUUUUUAUAUUUUUAAUUUUAAAACCACAUGGCCAACUAAAAUCCAAAGGGGUGCUAAUUUUGAUUCCGAAUAUUCUGCCAGUAUAUCCUGGCAAAAAUCAGAAACCUUUGCGGUUCCAAAAGGAAAAAAUAUAAGUAUGGAUUAUACCUUCACUCUCAGCCUUUUUCAGUAUUCUACAAGUAGAAUAUCGAAGUAAGAAACACUUUGGGGAGAAAAUAAAGAUUAAAAUCUCUAGUCAACCCUUUGUUGUAAUGCAGUUUUCCACCUGUCUCAAGUUAAUACCAGCUAUCUGUCCCAAGCACGUGCCAGGUUUGUACAAUUUAACAUCAUACAGCAAUCAGUUUCUCAGCAUUUCCACUAAUGAUACCCAAGGAGCAGACUUAUCUGUUGAAUAGUUUGUUGUGGUUUAAAAGCUAAGGAGCAUUUCACAAAUGAAAUCCCAGAGCUUAAGGGAUCCAACAUUUUUAUGUUUAUGCAAAAUGCAACUUAAGCAUUGUUUUUCACACCCAAAGACACUCUUACACCAAAACCCAAGAGAUUUCUUAUAUAUAUGUAUAUAUAUAUAUAUAAGUAUCUCACAGUAACAACUAUUUUUGCCUUUAAUUCCAAUCAUCCAAGCAAGCAUAUGAAAGUUUUAAACAGCUUUUAGAAGUGAGAAAAUUCUACAGUAAUUUAAAGCCUUAUGUGCAUACAUCUGUCAGUUUAUAAUAGUGAUUUAUCAGAUAGUUUCAGAGACUGAAUUUCAAUCUCACAAAACGUUCACAUUUGAGUAAAAUGCAUGAUACAUAUUUGUCAUCAUAUUUUGAUAGCUCCUAAGAAUGAAUGUGGUUCUCAUUUAUUUUAUUCUAUACAUAGGGGAAAAAAAUACACAAGAGCAAAAAUUCCAUUAAAAAAAGUUAAUUUUAACUUAGACUAGGUUCCAGACUGUCAGAAACCUUCAAAUAUUGUUGUUUAGCUACAACAGUACAGUGAGAAUUAAAGAAUUUCAAGCUUGACGCUGUAUUUGUCAUUCUGCAUGUCAAUUGAGAUACACUUCAGUCUUUGCCCUUCAUACACGUACAAAUUACCUACUCUACCAUCACUAGCAGCUAUUCCAUUUGUUGCAUUUUUCCCCCCUACUCUUAGUGUACUUACCUGAUAUCUUUGACUUAAUGUUGCUCUUAAAUGAAACACUAAGACUGAACAAUUUCAUAUGAACAGAAAAAGAACACUCCCAAACAGUUUGUUUCAUUGCACGCUUCUCCUACUAUCCCAGCCUGUCUAUUCACCAGAGAUAGAUGAUGUGUAGAGGUGUGUUCAGAAAACCAGCUUUUUAGUUUACAAAUUCAAAUACUAUGAGGUUGGAAAGCACCUUUCACAUUAAUAUAUGAGGAAGACACAAAAGGUAGAUCAGGCUGCCACAGGAAAACAUAAAAUGAAAAUCGUUCUCUCUCUCUUAUUGUUUGAAAAAGGAAAUCUUAGUUCUCAAACCACAAUGAGCAAAACAAAAAAGUGUUUGUUCUCUGGAGAACAUUGUACAAAACCCAUGUUUUCAGUGCAAGUAAUUUCUUAGUUUCAAAUGCUGUAAUUCCUUAUAGACAAAUUUCUUAUGGAACUUCCAUACUGCUCAAAUUUGCCAGAACUAGUGAUUUCACAAAGCAAGGGGAAAAAGCACAGGCCACGAGGAACAGAAAAAAUGUGUGUCUUAAGACACUUCAAAAGGCAGUAAAAUUACAGCAACAUUCAUGAAAAGAAGUAAUAAGACUUUCAGUUUGUUUGGUUUUCAAACCAUCUUAUCACCCUUAAGAAAAUGAAAUUACUAAACAUUAAGAAACAAAACAUAUGCUUCUGUAAAGCACCGGAAUAGCUAUCAAACAGCCUUGAGGAGGCACACAGAACAAUGGCAUCGUUUGUCUCUUACACUCUUAAGGUGGAUUUCAGCUACUGAAACAGAUGCACAGUACAUGAUUUCUGUGGUAAAUGCUAGAAACACAAAAAAUGCCAACCCCACAUACAUUAUUGCUCAGAAAUACACAUAAAAAGAGUAGGUAAAUAAUGUUCAUUACAGCUCUAUACUAGUAAGAUCUGGAACCAUUCUAGACAUGAAUAUGCAUAUCUAGGGUCUUGGACAAUGCUCCUACACAAUUCACUUGAAUUUCCUUAUUAUUAAAGCUUAUUAUUGAAAUAAUUCACAAAAAUAAGCAUCCUCCUUUUAAUUUUCUUAAAAGGCUAACAUCAUACUUCACUUGGUGCUGAAGCAUUUGCUAACACACUCUUCCAGAAGAGUCCCUGCUUACGCAGGCAAAAAUAUAAUGCAUCUUUUAAAACUAUCAAGUACCAUUUCCCCUCCUACUGGCAUAAAAAAAAAAAUACAACCAUAUUAGUUCUUAAACCACUCCAAAUCUGAAACUAUUUCAGAUACCUGAGAUCAGUUACUGAAGAAGCAGACCAGCCUCAGCCUCAGAAGUGCAUCAGUAUGCAUUUGUACAAAUGAUUUUGCUUACAGUGGUUUGAGAAUAGAAAAAAAAAAAAAAAAAA